GUGAAACCCUGGUUCUCGUUUGAUCUCCAAAGUUAAGCAGACUCGAGUUUGGUCAGUACUUAUAUAGGGGACCGCUUGUAAACACCAGGUGCUGUAA